rnacentral:rRNA from 1 species
GUGGACGCAUCACUGGUGUUCGGGUUGUCAUGCCAAUGGCACUGCCCGGUAGCUAAAUGCGGAAGAGAUAAGUGCUGAAAGCAUCUAAGCACGAAACUUGCCCCGAGAUGAGUUCUCCCUGAGACUUUAGAUCUCCUGAAGGAACGUUGAAGACGACGACGUUGAUAGGCCGGGUGUGUAAGCGCAGCGAUGCGUUGAGCUAACCGGUACUAAUGAACCGUGAGGCUUAACCUUACAACGCCGAAG